GACGAACCUUGCAAACGUUAUUCGGAAUCACUGGGCUUAAAGGGUGCGUAGGCUGUGCAGAAAGUUGGGUGUGAAAUACCUCGGCUUAACCGAGGAAUUGCGCCCAAAACUACUGUGCUCGAGGAAGAUAGAGGUGAGCGGAACUUAGGGUGGAGCGGUGAAAUGCGUUGAUAUCCUAAGGAACACCGGUGGCGAAAGCGGCUCACUGGAUCUUAUCUGACGCUGAGGCACGAAAGCGUGGGGAGCAAACAGG
rnacentral:rRNA from 1 species